rnacentral:rRNA from 1 species
AUACGUACUGUGCGAACGUUAUUCGGAAUCACUGGGCUUAAAGGGUGCGUAGGCGGCCGUUCAAGUCGGGUGUGAAAUCUCUCGGCUCAACCGAGGAAUUGCGCUCGAAACUAGACGGCUUGAGUGAGAUAGGGGUGUGUGGAACUUCCAGUGGAGCGGUGAAAUGUGUUGAUAUUGGAAGGAACGCCGGUAGCGAAAGCGACACACUGGGUCUUAACUGACGCUGAGGCACGAAAGCCAGGGUAGCGAACGGGAUUAGAAACCCUAGUAGUCC